ACCACACAAAGUUAGUUUUUAUUCUGUAUUUGUUCUAUGAAUUCCAUUGAGAGCUUUGGGCUCUUCCAUUAUUAUAAUUCUAUUUUUUUUUUCAAAACAAAACAAAACUGUUUUUAUUAUUACUUUGAAAAAAAUAAUGUUGUUUCUGCAAUUAUUUUUCGUAGCUUUUGGUUUCCCUGUAAUUUAUAAUAGCCAUUUCAUAGAGAAUCCUUGCUAUGGAUUAGAGAGAAAUAAAGUACGAGACAGUAGCAAAGCAAAAUAGGGAAUAAGAUAGUUUGUAAGUAUUGAAACAAUCAGGAAUUCGAGGACACAAAGGACACAGGUCAUCUUUUCAUUUUUCACCUAUUUUUUCUCUUGAGAUUAGUGAUAUCAUUGAUAUUGAUAAAUGUUUGUAAGUAUUUGGUAAUGAUAAUAAAUGGUUGAUCUUAGUAUAACCUCAAUCCCUUCAUCCUCAUGAUUGAUGGGUUUUCGAUUUUUGUCGAAGAAAAGUGCUUCUAGUCAUGAGCAAGCAUAACUUUUUUUUUUUUUUUUUUAAUAGAUGUUGAAAUUGUAGGAUGUUCAAUCUAAACCAAUGAAGUAAGAUGUGUAAAUUUUACUUUUGAAAUUUAUAUGAUUGUUUCAUAGUUUCUACUUGGGUUUUUGCAAGCUUUCUUGUUGAUUUUACGGUUGUAAUUAUUCAUUUUUGAUUGUGUUAAAGGUAAUUGCGUUCUUGACUUUCUUCUACUAAAUUAUAAGUUGGGUAGUUUACCAAGUAAGGUUUCCGUCUAAGGUCUCAUCUCAUGUGUUUUUGUUUUAUGGAGCUGUCUUCUCAUCUACUAUUUCUUAGUUGACUUGGAUGAAGAGGCAUUAGUGAUUGCUUGAGUGGUAUGGUUAUAACUUGUGUUUCAUGUCCAUAAAAUGUCUUCUACCCAUGUUUAUGUUCGAUUGCAUAAAGGGCAAACCAUUGAUGAUAUAAGCGAAGGAUUACUGGAGGACUGUGCUCAGCUCGUCAAAGCAAAUUGCAUACAAGGUUCUGAUUUUGUUGCAGCUUGCAAGCAUUGCGCUUCAAGUUGUUAAGAGGCUUAUCCAAUUGGCCCCUUCAUCUCACAGGGCUAUAAUGAAGAUGUGAAAGACAGAGGAUGAAAACAAAGAAUGUAGAAGUGGCCAGGAUUUUGGAAAUUUAAAUCCUCAAGUCUUCAAAUCCUUCUGAUAUUGAAUCACUUUUUGGUGCGAUUAACAAUGAUCAUUUUGUAUUUGGUAGUAAGUUCACUAGGUAAUCUCUUUUACAUAUAGCUUUUGACUUUCAAAGUUGAUACUAAUAUAAUUGUAUUGACUUAACAUUUAGUGAGCUUGGAUAGCUUCAAGAUGAUUGUCUCAUUUUCCACUACUAAUUGAUUUAUGUAUAUAUAUGGAGUGAAUAAAUAAGUUUAUAAUUUUAUGUAGAAUUAUAUUAGUUUUUUUUAAAACUUAUAUGUAUUAAAUAAGUUAUUUUAAUUUAUUGUAGAUAACAUUUGUAUUA